UGCUGCUGUCAUUCAUUGUAAUGGAAACAUGAAACCUUGGCUUGACAUUGCAAUGAACCAAUACAAGAAUCUCUGGAGUAAUAUGUAGACAAUGAUAUGGAAUUUGUUCAGACAUGCAAUUUUGGCCUUUAGACGAAUACCGGUCCUGCUCCAUCAUCGGCCAGGUAGACAGCAAUGAGCUGUAAGUGUUCAUACUGGAUUACUUCCAUUUACCAAAAUUUUGGAUCCGAUCAUUAGUUGUCACUUUCAAAGUGCUGUAUUCAACCAAAAUGGUUUUGUACACGCAGAAAUGAUUCUUUUGAAUGAAAUAUUUUUGACGAACUCCAGCGAUUCACAUAUUGUGCUAUGAGUAUUUUGACAUGUUACAUAACUUCUAUAUUAA